ACACUUGUUACUAUUGGCACAUUUCCUGCAAAAGCCAACCCCUGUCAGUGACGUUGGUUUCCCUCGCCUCCGUAAACGUCAUCAAAAUAAGCCACCCUCUUUCCCGUCUCCUACAAAAGACCAACUGCUUCCUGCGACCUCAGCGUUUACUGGAAGUCACUUUCAAGGGCUACGGUGGAACCUACUUCUGAGCAAAUAUAUAUAAGCUCAGAUUGUUUCAAACAAGAAACAUCACCACAAAUCUAGUGGGAGCAGAUCGUCGGUUUGGAGUUUGUUUCCUUCCCAUAAGAAAAAUGGCUGCUUAUUCUACAUACCCUUAUCCUUCUCUAUCCGGAGUAGCGGAUGACGCCACUUCCCGAAAUUCGCGGGUGAGGCGAGUUUGUUGCUACUGUCGUUGAGGGCGGAAUGGCGCUAGCGAAUAGACGGAUACUUGAAUGGAUAUACUUUCUGAUUCUUCUCACGACUGUACUGCUCUCGUGGGGAUUUGUCAUUUAUGCAACACGUUUGGCAGCCCAGUGGCAGCUGAAAGACAACUACCCUACACAACCCUACAAUUUUUGAGAGACACUAAAACAGAGAGACUUCUGAAAGCUAUGUGGAAGUUCAGGCACUCUAAAAGUACUCCUACCUUCAUGGAUACUAACGCAGUGAAACAGAACCAGAGUCCAAAGAUUUAAGAAAACAUGCCGAGACUUCAGAAGUAGAAUAGCGGGACCUUGUACAGAGAUGUGAUUUUCUCACUCUGGUCAACAAAUACUUCAAAUUUUACACCAGCAAAGGGCUAUGUAUAUAAAGAUCUCCAGUCCCAUAUGUUUCACUGAGGGUUAUGCUGGUACAGUUCAGAAGGAUCAGACACAAUGCAUCCUGAAAGAAUCACUAUGAACAAUCCCCACUAAUUUUGUGCAUCUGUUUUGUUUGGUUUAAGUGGCAAAACUGACUUGGCUUGAGCGGGUCACCCACUCAUUUCAUGGUUAAAAAUGACAUUUUAUUAUAAAAAUAAUUAUUUCUAAA